rnacentral:rRNA from 1 species
CCUACGGGAGGCAGCAGUGGGGAAUUUUGGACAAUGGGCGCAAGCCUGAUCCAGCAAUGCCGCGUGAGUGAAGAAGGCCUUCGGGUUGUAAAGCUCUUUUGUCAGGGAAGAAACGGUGUGGGCUAAUACCCCGCACUAAUGACGGUACCUGAAGAAUAAGCACCGGCUAACUACGUGCCAGCAGCCGCGGUAAUACGUAGGGUGCAAGCGUUAAUCGGAAUUACUGGGCGUAAAGCGUGCGCAGGCGGUUUUGUAAGUCUGUCGUGAAAUCCCCGGGCUCAACCUGGGAAUUGCGAUGGAGACUGCAAGGCUAGAAUCUGGCAGAGGGGGGUAGAAUUCCACGUGUAGCAGUGAAAUGCGUAGAGAUGUGGAGGAACACCGAUGGCGAAGGCAGCCCCCUGGGUCAAGAUUGACGCUCAUGCACGAAAGCGUGGGGAGCAAACAGGAUUAGAUACCCUGGUAGUCCACGCCCUAAACGAUGUCUACUAGUUGUCGGGUUUUAAUUAACUUGGUAACGCAGCUAACGCGUGAAGUAGACCGCCUGGGGAGUACGGUCGCAAGAUUAAAACUUAAAUGAAUUGA